CGACAAGCUGGACUGCGGAGAGCUGGGAGCAGAGGGGAGGAGGAGAGAUAGCUCGAACGUCAGGAUCCCAGAGCGCAGGGUUAGGACCGCCCCCCUUUGUGAAACCAGCUGCGUAGAGGCUGCUUUGUGUCUCUUUGGGCUAAUUCAAUAAGCCCAUAUUGCGGGGCUGUGGCCCAGAGUUUGGAGGAAUGUGAAUAAUUCAGAGGCGACUUAGAUGCAGCCUUUGGAGGGCUUACGGGUUAAUGGGAGACACACACAUUCAGUAAUCUCAACUUUCGGUGGCCCAGCUCAGAACAACGCCAGGUGGAGGUGGUCUGGAGAAAUCCGGAGACCGCCUGGAUUGAGUUCUACUGCGAUUGGAAGGGAGAUUCCACAGCCCACAUACUUUGGACUUUAAUUAAGCUCUGCUGCAGCCAGCUCCGCCACCAUCCCACGUCCUCCCUGUGGAAGACGGACACAUCUAUUUUAUUUAUUUAUUUAUUUUUGGUCCUCCCUGUGGAAGACGGAAACAUCUAUUUUAUUUAUUUAUUUAUUUUGAGUCAGAGUCUUGCUCUGUUGCCCGGGCUGGAGUGUAGUGGUGCAAUCUCAGCUCGCUGCAACCUCUGCCUCCCGGGUUCAAGCGAUUCUCCUGCCUCAGCCUCCCGAGUAUCUGGGAUUACAGUUGUGCACCACCAUGCCCGACUAAUUUUUGUAUGUUUAGUAGAGAUGGGGUUUCACUAUGUUGGCCAGGCUUGUCUCGAACUCCUGACUUCAGGUGAUCUGCCCUCCUCAGCCUCCCAAAGUGCUGGGAUUACAGGCAUGAACCACUGCACCCAGCCUGACAUAACUUUCUUAAGGUCGCCAAGAGGAAUGGCCACUUUUCAGUUCUUGUUUUACAUCCGCAUCUUAUUUGACACAGUUGACCACUUUCUUCAUUUGGCUUCCAGGACAUCAUGCCCUCUUGACUUUCUUCCCCGUUCAUUGGCAUCUCAGUAUUCUUUGCUGUUUUCUCACCGC
rnacentral:lncRNA from 10 species